ensembl:lncRNA
UCCUGCCCAGCUACAUCAGAUCAGCCAACAACUUUGUAAUUGCUAAAAACAGCCUGUUGAUUUUCCUCCUAAGUGCUUCAGCUGGCCUGGCUGAGCUUUCUCUUUUCCACUGUCUUGAGAUGUUUCUCUCAUUGUGCACUACGCCGUAUUUUUAUGGUCAACAUAUCCUAUAGCAAACAAUUUCAGGCUGAUGGCGGAAGGGAGAUUGGAUUCAGAUCGGAGAUUUGAGCCCCGGAUGGGGAGCCAGGAACGCCUCAGUUCCUGGACCAGAUCUGCCACUAAAUCAGGAAUCCACAUAAAGCAAAGCCACAUGACGAGCAACUGCAGGAUGAUUUGAUUUUUGUGUGCAGAGGAGGAAGCGAGUGUUUGAACACGGCUCUCGCCUUGGUGCGCCCGCUGCAACUGGAGCCGCCAUUACAGGACUGCAGCAGGAGCUUGCUGCAUCUUGGCUUUCUACUUAGAGUGAGAAUGAGAGGAAUUGAGGAUCCCCCUGUUCUGCGCAAAGCCCAGGAGAAGGAAGAGAUGCAGGAGGAGUUGCCUGUCUCCAGCCACUGCCCAGGCACAGGGGACAGAGGCACACCCACAGCCACUGUGGCGCAGCUGAGUUCCUCCACAGCCAGAAAUGGUGGGAGAAAACUCUGGUGCUGAGUCACAUUUCCUUCCCAUGGGCUCAUGCUGGGAUGGAUGGAUGCGCCUGCCCUAUGCCUGCAGGGCCUCACUGCAUGGCUCCUGCUGGGUGAGCGUGCUGGACUGAUCGAGGUGGAUGCAGUGGUCCCCGUCAGAUGUGUGCCAAAUUGAAAUGCCAGCAGCUGUGUGAGCAGCGGGAUAAUCGUAUCUGCUGCUUCUCUCUUCCAAGUCCUGGCAUUCCCAUUUCAGCAAUGGUGUGUCCAUGCUCAGCUCUGCGGGAGGAAAUCCAUUGACCGAAGCCAUGCUGACGCCUGGGGGAUGCGGUUACAUGUUCAUCAGUCACCUGUCUGACUGUGGACCCACUGGGAUGCAGAGCAAUAGGAGAGCAAUGGACUGUCCUCAAAGAGGGCCAUGAGCUGCACUGCCAGUGGGGAAGAACUGCUUCUGCUCAUCCGGGUAAUGUCGCUGUGUUGGCUGAAAAGUCUCCACUUGGUCCUGAGCGGUGCCACCUGCAGAUCCCUGCACCCACUGGAACAAAAUAAAAAGGUGUCGUAUGUGGUUUCAUGGCAGCAGGGAGGUGACAGCACACAUGGGCUGAGAAGCAGAAAUCCCCUUCAACAGCAGAGACUAUCUCUGCCAGCAGGUAGAGAAGAGGUUGUUUGUCUGAAGAAAGAAGGGUGUGGUGGAAAUACUUCAUGCCAGUCAAGUCAACCAAAAUACUACCUGAGUUACAAAGCAUGCUGGAAAACAAAAUUAAACAGAAGAUCUGGGCCCCACCUGUGCUCUCCCAGGAGAGACUGAGAGAAAAGGAGUUCUGGGAGCUGGGAACACACAGCUCCCUGCAGCAGCUGCACUAUGGAAUUCACCCUGGAUGAAUGGGAAUGCCAAUGUCUUCACCUCCUGAAGAGAGGACACAGCUCUCAGACUGAAUUAGCCACAGCUGGAUAGGUUGUUUUGAAAUCUCCACAAUUUUCAGACCUGGAAGAUUUUUCCAUCAUGCUGGCCUGGGGUAGGCAUUUGGUGGGUGAGUAAACUAUAAUUUGGUUUGUUUUGCCUUAUGAAGUAAGUGUAGAAAAUACACCAAAGUAGCUGGUCACAUAUUUGGACCUGGGCUUCUCACGAAAGUUCUGCAAAACCCUCUCAAAUGUCUGAAUAUUUACUAAGUAGGUCACGAAAUAUUUUCCAACAACAAAAAUACAAAUACAAAAAUACAAUAGAGUAAUCCUAUUGGGAUGUAGUUAUGUGCUAAUGACUUUAUUUUCUUCUUCCUCCUGUUCAGGCAGUAACAUGCAAAGUGACCACAGCACUGUUGUGAAAUUGCUGAUUAACCUUUUGACUCUGACAAUUGGGACUUCUCUUAACACCAAUUGGUAAUGCAAAAGACCAUUAGUAGUUAAUAUUGGGACACCCCACCUCCAGAUGCCAAAAGGUUAAUGAAAAAGCAAGUAUCUUGCUUUUACUGGGAAACUUGGAAACCUUCCCACCAAACAUUUCAUUUUUUGUGAUAAACAAGCCAGACCGCUUCAGCUGAGAAAGACGGGUGUUUUGCUAAUGUGUACAGCUGUUAAUUGAAAAAGAUUCUGUUAUGCCUGUUCUUCUGGACAUAGAUAAAAGAGAGAUUUGUUGGUGAACUUUAGUUGGUCCUGAACACCCCUUUGUCAAAAUACACUGCUCAAUAAUAACGCUUUGUUCUGUCUGUAACAGCCACGGAAGGAUUUUGAGUGGAAUACUCAUUUUCUUUAAGUCAUAUCUGCCAGUGAUCAUUCUUGGCUUAAGAUCAGCUGCCAUUUAUGUGUUUUAUGAAAAUAUAACACCAGUUUUAUGCUCAAAACUAUUCUUUUUUAGGUAAAAGCUUCAGCACAAACUGGUUCCCCAUAUGUACCAUAAAUGCUAUUUAUCACAGGUUUUGGUCUUUAAAACAGAAUGAUAAUGUUAAAACAUUUUCAUUACCCUUUCCUUACAGCUAUCAUUCACAAACCAUCUUUUAUAAUUAUGGUACUAGGACAUUUACAUAACUGGGAAAAAGGUCCUUAAACUACAUUUCUAUUAUGUUUGGCACUUGUGUGAAAGGAUAUUAUAUUCAUGUGCAUUAGAGAUUGCUUAUAAAAGAUCAAGACAAUAAUAGCAGAUCAGACGAUAAAGGUUCCCUUUUCUCCUCCCAGACAGGCUGUCUCUGACAGAAGAAUACAGUUCAUCAAAAGUGUCUGCAGGUUGUCAAACUCAGUGAGAUUUGGGGACACUCGGAGGCUGUCAUGGCCAACAAGAAGAUUUUCUGUAGGGUUCUGCCAUCAUUCACCCUCAGGAAAUAAUCACUCACUACAUUCUGCAUGCUCUCAUGAUAGAGCUCUAUUUGAGAGAAAAGAGCCAUUUUAUCAAAGGACAAUAUAUCCCUUCUCUUGGUCCAUGCAGCUUCCAUUAUCAGACCAUAAUAAAUCAUAUUUAUGUUCUCAGUUAAUAAGACUGAUUACAAUGCAGGUUACAGGCAUGGGAAAAGCAAAGCAGGUGAAAAGAUGUUUUAAUGAAAAUAUGAUAAGCAAACAGCUUCUUGUGAACAUUUCAGGCUGUUAUUUGUAAUGAUCACAGGCAAUUUUUGAUACAUCUUCUUUAGCAAUGGUUUAAGCUGCAUAAAUUGGCUUGCCACUUUAUACGUCGAAAUAGGAAGAAUCCCAGUGUCCUUCUUAUGUUGUCUAGAAUCAUUAUAUACAUUAUAAGCAUAAAAUGAGUUUAAUGUAUGUGCUUUGAAAAGAUGGGGAAAACAGAAAAUCAGGGAGGACUGAUUUUAAUGCUGCUCAAAAUGAUUUUGAAAUUUUCUGCACAUCUUUGUUACUAACGGUGCAUUUUCCAUGAAAUUUAGGGAUGACAUGUGGUGCUUUCAUCUCCUUAAAAUUAAUAUACUUCUCUUUCUGUUUUUCUCAGUUUCUUCAAAGUUCUUUUUAGAACACUGUGCAAAGAGACAGAGAGAAAAUUCUCCACUCGAUGUGUGAACAUAUCUGUUAUUAAUGCUGGGGGGGAGUUAAGUGUGUGCUUCUAGAGGAGAAUAUACCCCUGCGUUAAACACUGAAAUCAACCCUAUCAAAAAGGUGCAAGGAUAUUUAGCUGCAGCACACCUGAUGCAUUCAAGGGCCAAAUUCCUUAGAAUCUUUUAAAGUGAUCAAGAUCUCUUUUGUUAAGAGCGCUCCAAUGAUUUCAGAAUAUAACUGUACUUAAGUAGCCGAGGAAGUGUCUUGCUCUUGUCUCGUGAAAAGCUUUCUUUUAUGUUUUAUUGUUGUUUUCUUUUUUGCUGUAGUCAUUUGGUUUAUGUUUAGCAUCAUACUUUCAAGACAAAGUUAAAAAUUUAAAGAAUAAUUUCUUCCUGCUAGCAGAUAAUGCUGACUAAGUAUUUCAAAAUCUACAGCACUUGCAGAAUGCAAGCAUUAUGCUUAAAAUGUAUAUAAUGAUUCCAGACAAUAUGAGAAGGACACUGGGAUUCUUCCUACUUUGAUAUAUAAAGUGGUGAGCAAACGCAGAAGUCUCCAUGGUGUUGUGUGUCUGUAGGAGCUGUUCUGGUCACUGAUACUUCUAAAGCUCCCUUAAACAAAUGUUAAAGCUUUGUAAUGGGCCUGGCAAUGGAGAAUGACCAUGAAAUUCCCUUAACCCUUUUAGGGCACUUCAGCAGGAGAAGUGAUCACACAAGAAACAGUAAACUGCGCUUCAAAGGCAGCAUCCUGAUAUGACAACAGAUGUAGAUAAUGCACUUCAUGAUGAAACUGCUUGAUACAGAGAAAAACACGUUGUAACUGCCUUCACCCUGAAAGGGGUUUAAAAAUGCUGCCUGCCAACUCCACAAAAAACAGAGCUGCUAUUUCAGUUAAAGGCCAGUGGAUUGUAUUUUUCGUGUCAGUUUUCACUAACCUCAAACAUCACUGUUAUGACAGACUGUCAUCCAACCAAGCCAGCACUGUGGUGCCAUUCAGGCAAGAAAGAAGAAAGCAAACACAAAGGAAACUUAGAAGUCCGAGCAGUAAGAGCGGGUGUCUGUGAGUGCACUUUUGUGCAGCGAUACUGAUUACUGAAAAUGAAACACUUAAAAGAAAACAAACCCAAAAAAGUGAUUUCUGAGCCAUUGGUGUUUUCUUGCCUGGCAAUUUCUCUUUGUUCUGUUUCAUGACAUCAGCCUCAGUGGUUGAAAGGGUGUUCUGGGCCAGAUGUCAAUCACUAUGUCUGACAUAAACAAAAAUAGCUAAAAAGACAUGCCAGCAUCUUCCUUUUGUUUUCCCAUUAGCUCCAUUUUUCUUUUCAGAGGCUGACAAAAAAUUACUGCCUCCGAGUGAAUUCAGUAAUGUCACUAUAUAUCUAAUAUCUAGGAGACCUUUUGUUUUAGCUUUACUGGGCUUAACCACAAAAGACACUUGACAUUGACAAAGAGUCUGUCAAAUACACAAUGAUCAGUGCAGUGAAAUCUCUCAUGACAGAAGGGCACUAUUCUGCACCCCCAGCCUGCAGCAGCCUAUCUGAGUAAAAUGUGCUGGAGCACAUGCAGCAGCUGAACCAUUGCAGAGCAGGCCAUAAGCUGAGAUGUGUCUUGUUUAAAGUGUCAUAGUAUAUUAGUGUAAUUAAAACCGCCAAAAGAAUAGAAAAGAUAGAUGGAAAUGUUACAUUACUUGUUUCUAGAGAUUAACCUCCAGCCAGAACUGAAAUACAGGGACACAUUUUGCAUGUCUUAGAGCUCUGAUAUGGAAGAAAACAAGCCUGAGUGUAUGUCUCUUGAAGUGUGAGACAUGAAGUCAUAGUUCCUGUAUUUACACAAUAAAGCAGAAACAGCGCUUCAGACAGGCACGCUGUUUUCUCUCUGAUUACAGCUCCCGUUGUGGCUGUACUCUGCAAAGCAGCUGUAUCAUCUCUCAGCUACUUCCCUUUUACUCUCACUGCCUUCGUGCUUGGAAGGUCUUGAGGACCCUUGGGCCAACAGAUGUGCUGGUGUCAAUGCCUUCUGCUCCCUUGGCAUCUGCCAGCAUUGCGUGGGCCCAGCCUAGAGGCAGAGCACCCUGUCCCUGUGGUGUCUGCAGAAGACACAGCUCAGCUCCAGACUCAGCAACACCCAGCUAGGAAGAUGUUUGAAGAAUGGCUUCAGUCUGACCUUUAUAUACCAGGCUGCAUGCUUGCUUCUCUGUUGACUCUAUAGAUAAAACUGCAUGGCUUUCUGAAAUUGACUCUGAAAAUUAUGUUCCCAGAACUGCAUGUUUUCCUUCCCAUGCCUCAUUACCUGUGAUAACUAUUCAAGCCUAACUAGUUACGAUCUCUGUUCUAACCAUGAGGCAAGUUAUAUCUGGUGGUGAAAAACCCUUGGAGUUUUUAUGGACCUGUUCAGCUGUGUUGGCUGAACGUUGGUUUAUCCAGUAUCUGGAGAGGACCUCAUCUGGCUUCAGCAGUUCUGAAGCAUACAAAAGCAGCGUGGUUUUCUUCUAAUGUAAGCCUUACAUUCAAGGAGAAGAUGCAUUAAUCAGAUUCAUCUCAGUGACUGUGAAAUUCCUGAGGAUGUUAUUACUUUCAAGUCAGAUUAACGGAGUAAUUUCCAGACAACCAUGCUACCAGAAUACAUGAUACUACUCUUAAAGUGGACCUCAAAAACUUUGAGAAAGAAAAUGAUUCCAUCUUUUUUGAUCAGGUUCUUCCUCUACAGGAGUUCCUGCAGCUACAGGACCAGGAGAUGUCCGAGGUCAAGAAAAGGUUAAAGUUGUUCACUGCUUUCAAGCUCUGGCCUUAGAAGUUAAUUCAGUGCUGUGCUGCGAGAGCUACAGAGUAAAUCCUUGGAACAGUGAAUUGCUGGUUUGAUAUCAAGCUCACGUCAACAUUUCUAUCAGAAAGAAUCACCAUAAUCACCAGAUAUAUUAGCAGAAACUGCUCCUUCCCAUUGACCACAUACGCCAAAAUCCUUGGAAACUCUUAAGCCGUGGACUUCCCCUGAAGACAUACAGAGAAAAUGGCUCAAGCGAACACUCCUCCAUUCCUUCAGUGGAGCCCAGGUCAGCUGUGACAAGCAUCUGCUCUGUGGGUAGGUGCAAAAUACACGACAAAGAUAUCGGCCGUGGAUCCCUUCUGUAAACGAUGACCUCAUCCGGAGGUUAUGGGACCUUCACGAGGAUACCAGUCGUACUCCUCCAUGGCGAUGUGUUACAGACUCUUUUUGGACACCACACCAAAGUGCAGCUACGAUGUUAAAAGAAAAAUGUUCCUUUGACAAAUGAAAUCUUUAAAAUGGCAACAAGCAAGGAAAAAGUCAGCUCUGAGUGGAAAACAUUUAAUAUGUUUUGAUGAUUUCUUAUCUCAGACAGAAGAGAAGACAAGUUGAUUUUCUCUGCUGAAACUUUUUGAAGUGAGUUCUGACUGAAAAGAUGUGGUGGUGUUUUAACAAAAACAUAUUGUUAUAAAACAUGAUGUAUGCUCAGAAGUAUUAAUGUGUACCUCUCUGCUUCAGGUUUGAACAUUUCAGUCCAGUGAACUAGCCUGUUCCAUUUAUUUUUUAAAUUCUUAUCCAGUUGAUCUUUUUUUUGUUGUUCUUUAAGUUUUCAGUAGUUCAAUGGCUACUUUUAUCUCUGAUUUAGGCUUUCAAACAGCACCAAACUCUGCCGUCCCAUCCUGUAAUCUGUCCAUUUAUUAUGGUGACUGGUGAACAGAGGCAACAUGUUAGUGCAAGCACUGUAAAAAUAUCUGUGGAGAAAACAUUCUUUCACUCUAAAGGAUAAGUUCCAUAAGAAUGUAUAUUCUCCAGUAUUUGCAAAAGUACGGUACGGAUUUUUCUUGUUAAAGGUAGCAAUGUCUGAAUCGCAAAUAAUUUCACGUUUAUAUGAGAGACAAUAUAUCAUUUUACAGAUCUGUAAUCAUGGAAAUCAAUGGUCAGUAUCCAUUUAAGAAAAUCGAAAUAAUUUAACUGAUUAUUUAAACAAUGCCUUGUUAGACUACGGAAUUUAAAGUCCUCUUUCAAAAUGAAGGUUGUUUUAAGUAGCGAACUUAUUAUUACAUACUACAUUCUAGUGGCACGUAAACACUUCUGAUUUAAAACAUGAAUUCCGUGUAAGUUCAAACUGAUGUCUUUGACUUUAGUUACAGAACUCAAUUUCAGGACUUUCUGCUGCUGGUGGCUGUAUAUCAGUUCUUCCAAUAGGGAUGUGCUCAGGACAAAUUAGUGAACGUAAUUUUAGCUGUAUGAGGUCAUUACAAAUACAGCCUUAGCUCUUCCUAGAGUGGACUUCAUUGUUAAUAUAAAUAUAUAUCUAUAGUUACUGACAUUUAUAUUAUUUGGCUCCUGUCCUAAGUUAUGGAUACAGUGAUGAUAAAAGCCCUUACCUAAGUGAGUCAUGCUUACUAAUUACUUCCAUGGUACUGGGUUCCUGUAAAUAAAGUUACUCAUGUAUUUAUAAGCAAGUCAAAAUUUAUACAUAUGUUUCUAAGAGUGAGUUAUCUUUCUCUCUGGGGCAAACAGCACAGUCUGCUGUUUGGAAAAGAACGCUGAGAGUAAGGACAUCCAGGGUGCUUCCUCACUUCUGCGAGGGUGCGUGCUCUCCUCUGCCAUUGGAUAUCCAACUAAAAUACUUAAUUUGGUCACAUUUUUUAAACUGUUUAAGACCCUUCUGCAUUACUUCAAGGUAGGAAAUGGCUGUUGAUUUUUCCUCGCUGUUUCCAAAGAGGCUGCGGUAAGAGGGUUUCAGUCUAAUUGUUUGCUCUAAAGAUGUAGCGUUCAAGACACAAAGCCUAGCAGUGUGACGUGGAAGAUCUCAAGACAAAGCAGCAGCCUCAACAUCUCUCUCUAAUGAGAACAGGAAAAGACAAUUGAGAUCCCGUAGGAAUGCAGUAUAUUUAGGAGAGAAGCAGAGCUCCUUUCACGAAUGGAGAGAGAACCCUGGUGAAUACUGGACUACCUGCUAUCUCUGGGUGUGACUAGGUGAGUGAAGGAUUUGGAUCACAGCCUGCAACGUUUUCCAGACAUUUAGAGUGCAACUACUACAACUACUACGCCAGCAAUUUUAUGCCUUCCUUUCCCUGACUCCAACAGUAUGCGAGAUAAGCAGCCAGAUUUUCUUCUGCAUUGUGUUUUUUUAUCCAUUCAGCCAAAAUUAACAGUCUUCAAGGAUAAUGUAUGCCAAGCGAAUUUAAAUCUUGCGGACUCAAAUCGACCUAAAGUUGAUGGAUACAUUCAUGCCUACUGCUGAAAUCUACCAAUUACACAGAACUAUGCUAACUUACCAUAGAAACAUCUCAUCUAAUAGCACAGAUGAUGUUGAACUAACUAAUUACAUUAUGGCACAUAGACAAUGAAAAACAUAACGAAGAUGACAG